GGGAUUGUAACUCAAUGGUUAGAGUGAUUGCCUUUUAAGCAAUAAGUUGUAGGUUCGACCCCUACCGGUCUCA
rnacentral:tRNA from 1 species